AUGGGAUGUUUUGAUCUCACCAAAACUCUUUGUGACGAGAUCUCAACAAUGAUUUUCCGCUACUGGUGGAGCCAGGUGGACAAGGAAAACAAGAUGCAUUGGAUUGCUUGGGAUAAGUUGGUAAAACCAAAGAAAGAUGGGGGUCUAGGUUUCCGUGAUUUGCACCUUUUCAACAUCGCAAUGUUAGCAAAGCAAGCAUGGCGCAUCCUUCAGGAUCCAUCAUCUCUUUGUGCUCGUGUGCUGGGCGCUCGCUAUUUCCCCGAUGGAAAUAUCCUAGCAGCCAAGCCAAGAGCAGGGAUUUCCUACACUUGGCGAAGUAUUCUAAAGGGGCUUGACCUGCUUAAGCAAGGCAUUGUGUGGCGAGUUGGAAAUGGUCAGAACAUCAAGAUCUGGGACGACCCAUGGUUGCCGAGAGGAAUUACUCGCCGACCCAGUUCGACUCGUGGCCAAAACCUUUUGGAGAAUGUGGAGGACCUCAUUAACCCGGUGACCGGUAUGUGGGACGUGGAACUUGUAAACCAAACGUUCUGCACUGAAGACGCCAAGGUUGUACUUUCAAUCCCAAUUUUUGAAGGUUUUGAGGACUCCAUAGCAUGGCAUCCUGAGCCAAAAGGGAAUUUUACGGUGAAGUCCGCCUACAAGCUGAAUCUGCAGCUGAGAGCAGAGAAGAAUGGGGAAAACUGUUCUACCAGCACUGCAAAAAUUACGACAAGCCAGACCACUUCACAGUGGGGGAAAAUCUGGCAUCUAAAUGUCCCAAAGAAAAUUGCAAUGUUCCUUUGGAGAUUUACACAUAACAGCCUGCCGUUACGAACUAACAUUAGACGCCGAGGCAUGGACAUCGAUACGCUCUGUCCAUGUUGUCAACGACUUGAUGAAGAUGGUGGCCAUCUUUUUCUCAAAUGCAAGUUUGCCAGGGCCUGCUGGCAUGCGGCAAUCCUAGAAGAGCAGUGUCUCAAACUUGUAGCAUGUUCCUCAGCUCAAGAAGUAAUGGACUGUAUCUUUCAGUUUGGGGACCAAUUGGCUAUGCAAGUAACCACCCUGUUAUGGUGUAUCUGGUCGGCAAGAAAUAAAUUCAAUGCUGGUGAAAGUGCUCCCACGGCUGAUGCGGUUGCAGCUAAUUGCAGCCUACAUAUCCUUCAGUUUACUGAACACCUGAAGGGUGGGAACCAAACCAAAACAAACAGGAGGUGCAAGUGGUCACCACCACCAUCAGAUUUUUUUGAUGGUGCUUACUCAGGCAACACACGAGAGGGAGGAUGGGGUUUCUGUGCAAGAACUAAGGAAGGUUCAGUCUGGGGUGCAGGCAUGGGUCGACUGACUCAUCUUUCUGACGCUCUCCAAGCUGAAGCUUUUGCUUGUUUGCAGGCGAUUCAAUUUGCCCGAGAUGCUGGAAUGAGCCGGAUCAUCUUUGAAACUGAUGCUACAAAUUUAAAGGAUGCCCUGUGUAGCAAUGUAUACGAUCUCUCACAGCACAGUACUAUCUUUAAGAAGGCCAAGUAUAUGUUGUCUACUAGUUUUAUCGAGUACGAAGUGGUAUCUUGUGUCCGCGAAUGUAAUUGUGUUACUCAUAAAUUAGCGGGUCAGGGUGCGUCUAUGGAACCUGGUGCUCAUAUGUUGUGGCAUGGUACGGUUCCAGACUUUGAAAUCUCUGAUGUAGCCAGCGAGUAUGUUAUGCUAAGUGGUUAA
rnacentral:rRNA from 1 species